UACGAAGGGGGGCUAGCGUUGCUCGGAAAUCAUUGGGGCGUAAAGCGCGCGUAGGCGGUUACUUAAGUUGGAUGUGAAAGCCCUCGGCUUAACCGAGGAAGUGCAUCCAAAAACUGAGUAGCUAGAGUACGAAAGAGGGUCGCGGAAUUCCCGGUGUAGAGGUGAAAUUCGUAGAUAUGGGAGGAACACCGUGGGCGAAAGGCGGCGACCCUGGGGUCGAGACUGGACGCUGAGGCGCGAAAAGCGUGGGGGAGCAAACAGG
rnacentral:rRNA from 1 species